GCCUGGGGUCACAGCAGGGCCCCUCCGAGCUGCCCUGUGGUGAUUCAUGAGACCAGUCCUUUCCCUGUGUGAGUCUCUGCUUCUGCGCCCCAUCAUUUCAGCUUGGUUCAUGAGUCCAUUCUCCCAUUCACCUGGCUGCCUUGUAACUGAAACAGCAGCCGAUGUUUUUGUCACACACAGGAACUUUAGGUUCAUUUACUCAUUUAAUCUCCAGCAUAUGGAUAUGAGAGCUGAGGUAUAUAUGCCCAUUUUCUGGACAAAAAUACUGAGGCGCCGAGAGGUAACAAUUUGCUGAAGGACACACAUCUCACGUCAGUAGCAGAAUCAAGUGACUUCUUCUUCAGUUUCCAGAGCCUUUACCCAAACACAGGAUGCCUUCAGCCGCAGACAGGCACCACACACAGUCCUUCUGUGAGCCCUCUUUGCAGGGAGCAGCAGCUUCCCAGGAGAAUGGCAGCUUCAGAGACAACCCAGUCACCCUCUUACUACAGACAAAUGCUUACAAGAAUCUCCUUGAACCCUCCUGGCACUCCGCCCCCCCAAACCCCACAGGGCUCUUUCUGUGCACAUCACAGGAAGCUCCUCAGCCCUUACGUCCUCCAAGGCACUGUCCUCAACACACACUAGAUGCUGACACAAAUCGCCCCAUGUACUCUUGCCUAUACAGAGACCAGGCGCUUUCUUGGUAUGCUCUACUCAAACCUGGGUCUCUCCCUGGAAUGCUGACAUUUGGGCCAGCUCAGUCUUUGUCCUGAGGGGCUGUGCUGUGUGGCAUAAGCUGUGUUCUCUACUGGAUGCCUGAAGAAACCCCCACUGUGUUCUGUUCCCUGAAGGACUUUGCUGAAUACUGCCUGGCCUGCCUCCUGAGGGGCUUGCCUGGCUUACAUUAAUAGUUAAUACCAUAAACAGUUAAAUGUGCUUACUACAUGCCAGGUCCUGUGCUAGAUACAUUUCAUGUUUGAAUUCACUACAGAUUUAUGAGCCUACAGUGCAGCACUGUCCCUUCCAGUCUACAGACACGAAAACAAUGAGCUUAAAUCCCAAGGUCUCACAUCUGGCAGGUGGGCAGUCUGUUAUACCUAAGGAAAUCUAGGCUUCCCCUUCCACCAAAGACGGAAUUUUACUUUUUAUUGUAUUAAAUACAUAUAACAAGAUUACCAUUUGACCGCUUUAGCAUAAGCAGACUGGCAUAUGGUAUGGAGGAGCUUUUGCCCUCCCCAUGCCCUUUUAGAAGAAGCUUCUACCUUAGGCAAUGAGGUGCAGCUAUAAAUACAUGACGAAUACGAAACACACACACACACACACACACACACACACACACACACACACACACACACAAUGAGGGCUGGAAUCCCAUGUUUAGAUUCUGUUCUUUUUCUCCAUGUUCAGGAUCUUGCAUCUAGGCAGGUGUCCAGUAACAAGGAAGCAAUGGGAUGUUGUCAGAUGAAGAAGAGAGGAUGGGUAAGUAGCUAAAACGAUGUGGGGACCAGCCAUUUGGGGUGCUCAGCUUUGCAGAGAAAGUGAGGACCUUAGAAGUUUAUGAGAUCACUGGCUGCUUCCCCACUUACUUCUGACCAACCCACCUCUCAGUCUCCAGCAGCCAUGAGCCUCUUUCUGCCUUACCUGAAGAUUUCUGAUUACCAUUAGCUUAUUAUUUUCCUACAGACCCUGAGUAUGUCCUGGUGAUGCAUUUUAAAGAGGCCUGAUGAAGAGCGCCCAUCGGUCCCUUGUUUCCAGCCCCAACGUGUGUACUCCUGGGCCCUUUACACUUCUUUGCUAGUGUCCGAGACUCCUCUGCAACCCAAGCUACAUCUGUCCACAAUCACUAGUCUGACUCUACUGCUCUUGCUGCCUCUGGGCAGUGCAGGAAAUGAAGCUCCAGAUUACACAUGCUGGCCAGGAAACACAAGGUGAGGUCCAUAGUAUCUUACUGGUGUUUGUGGUAAUUAGAGUAUGUCUGGGGGAAAAUGGUGGAUGACCUUAUUAAAGGUUUGAAUGGAACCAGUGAUUCUAUUUCCAGAAUUCUCCUAGGCAGUUCUAAAGACAAAGAUUUAAAUAGACAUGUGUGUGUGUGUGUGUGUGUGUGUUGUGUAUGUAUGUGUACAUGUGUGUGCAUGUGUAUGUGUGCAUGUGUAUGUGUGCAUGUGUAUGUGUGCAUGUGUAUGUGUGUAUGUGUAUAAGCAACAUUAUAUAACAGGUAAUGUGUUAUUACACACUAACCAAAGAGGUCAGAGUCACCUCAGGUGAGGGGAUCCACCCAUGUAAUGUGUUAUGACAAACACACUAAACAAAGAUGUCAGAGUCACCUCAGGCGAGAGAAUCCACCCUCAAAGAUUAUUAGGGGAGUCACAGUCUGCUGCACCAGAGGCAGGCAUGUUCCUCAUUUUAGUAAAUGAAAGGGACCAAAAAAAAAAAA
rnacentral:sRNA from 1 species